rnacentral:rRNA from 1 species
UACGUAGGGACCAAGCGUUGUUCGGAUUUACUGGGCGUAAAGGGCGCGUAGGCGGUCAGCACAAGUCAGUUGUGAAAUCUCCGGGCUUAACUCGGAAAGGUCAACUGAUACUGUGCGACUAGAGUGCAGAAGGGCAACUGGAAUUCUCGGUGUAGCGGUGAAAUGCGUAGAUAUCGAGAGGAACACCUGCGGCGAAGGCGGGUUGCUGGGCUGACACUGACGCUGAUGCGCGAAAGCCAGGGGAGCGAACGGG